GUCCAAAAAUGUUAUUUCUAUAUAAUGAAUAUCUAUGCAUCUGACCAUUUGUUCAGUCAUCCAUCCAUCCAUCCAUCCAUCCAUCCAUCCAUAUACUUAUGCUUUCUCCAUCUCUCUAGAACCUAACUCUCUCUCCAGGCUUCUGUUUUGUGGUCUCUAAUCAGUUCAGAACUAGGUUUUCCUUCCCCUAAACACCUUCAUUAAAUUUAGUAUUUUGGGCCAGGCACAGUGGCUCAUGCCUAUAAUCCCAGCACUUUGGGAGGCUGAGGUAGGCAGAUCACAUGAGGCCAGGAGUUUGAGACCAGCCUGGUCAACAUGGUGAAACCCUGUCUCUACUGAAAAUACAAAAAAAAAAAAAAUUAGCCAGCCCUCACAGACACACCCAGGAUCAAUAAUUUGCAUUCUUCCAUCCCAUCAAGUUGACACUCAGUAUUAACCAUCACAAGUGGUAAUGAAAAAGUUCUGGAGGUGG
rnacentral:lncRNA from 1 species